rnacentral:rRNA from 1 species
AGGGUUUGAUCAUGGCUCAGAUUGAACGCUGGCGGCAUGCUUUACACAUGCAAGUCGAACGGUAACAGGCCGCAAGGUGCUGACGAGUGGCGAACGGGUGAGUAAUGUAUCGGAACGUGCCCAGUCGUGGGGGAUAACGCAGCGAAAGCUGCGCUAAUACCGCAUACGAUCUAUGGAUGAAAGCGGGGGACCGUAAGGCCUCGCGCGAUUGGAGCGGCCGAUAUCAGAUUAGGUAGUUGGUGGGGUAAAGGCUCACCAAGCCAACGAUCUGUAGCUGGUCUGAGAGGACGACCAGCCACACUGGGACUGAGACACGGCCCAGACUCCUACGGGAGGCAGCAGUGGGGAAUUUUGGACAAUGGGCGCAAGCCUGAUCCAGCAAUGCCGCGUGCAGGAAGAAGGCCUUCGGGUUGUAAACUGCUUUUGUACGGAACGAAACGGUCCUGGUUAAUACCUGGGGCUAAUGACGGUACCGUAAGAAUAAGCACCGGCUAACUACGUGC